rnacentral:lncRNA from 1 species
CUAUGAUACCACGUUCACUGUUUGCAGUUACAAGGAUAACAGCACAGCUACUGCAAUGAAAGUCGUGCUUCUCACGUGGCUCUCCCAUCAAGAAGGAGACAUCUUAGUCAGGAGAACUGCUGCCCAGAGGGGCCUUGAACAUGACUGAUGAUGCUGAGAAAAGUUUCUGAAAACCUCCCUGACCAAAUGAUGGGGA